rnacentral:tRNA from 1 species
GGGGCCAUAGUUCAGUUGGGAGAACGCCUGCUUUGCAAGCAGGAGGUCAGGGGUUCGAACCCCCUUGGCUCCACCA